CGGACGGGUGAGUAACACGUGGAUAACCUACCUAUAAGACUGGGAUAACUUCGGGAAACCGGAGCUAAUACCGGAUAAUAUAUUGAACCGCAUGGUUCAAUAGUGAAAGACGGUUUUGCUGUCACUUAUAGAUGGAUCCGCGCCGCAUUAGCUAGUUGGUAAGGUAACGGCUUACCGAGGCAACGAUGCGUAGCCGACCUGAGAGGGUGAUCGGCCACACUGGAACUGAGACACGGUCCAGACUCCUACGGGAGGCAGCAGCG
rnacentral:rRNA from 1 species